rnacentral:rRNA from 1 species
CCUCCGGAGGUCAUUGCUAUCGGGGUCCGACUUAGCCAUGCUAGUUGUACGUCUAACGUAGCGAAAAGCUCCGUAACACGUGGCCAAACUACCCUGUGGAGGACAAUAACCUCGGGAAACUGAGGCUAAUAGUCCAUACGACACUCAUGCUGGAAUGCAGAGUGGCCGAAACGCUCCGGCGCCACAGGAUGUGGCUGCGGCUGAUUAGGUAGACGGUGGGGUAACGGCCCACCGUGCCGAUAAUCAGUACGGGUUGUGAGAGCAAGAGCCCGGAGACGGAAUCUGAGACAAGAUUCCGGGCCCUACGGGGCGCAGCAGGCGCGAAACCUUUACACUGCACGCCAGUGCGAUAAGGGGACCCCGAGUGCGAGGGCAUACUAGCCCUCGCUUUUCUGAACCGUAGGGAGGUUCAGGAACAAGAGCUGGGCAAGACCGGUGCCAGCCGCCGCGGUAAUACCGGCAGCUCGAGUGAUGACCGCUGUUAUUGGGCCUAAAGCGUCCGUAGCUGGCCACGCAAGUUCGUCGGGAAAUCCACUAGCUCAACUAGUGGGCGUCCGGCGAAAACUGCGUGGCUUGGGACCGGAAGGCUCGAGGGGUACGUCCGGGGUAGGAGUGAAAUCCUGUAAUCCUGGACGGACCACCGAUGGCGAAAGCACCUCGAGAAGACGGAUCCGACAGUGAGGGACGAAAGCUGGGGUCUCGAAUCGGAUUAGAUACCCGGGUAGUCCCAGCCGUAAACGAUGCCAGUUAGGUGUGGCGCAGGCUACGAGCCUGCGCUGUGCCGUAGGGAAGCCGAGAAACUGGCCGCCUGGGAAGUACGUCCGCAAGGAUGAAACUUAAAGGAAUUGGCGGGGGAGCACUACAACCGGAGGAGCCUGCGGUUUAAUUGGAUCAACCGCCCGGGAA